rnacentral:rRNA from 1 species
UGCAGUCGAACGGUGAAGUGAGGAGCUUGCUCCUUGCGGAUCAGUGGCGAACGGGUGAGUAACACGUGAGUAACCUGCCCCCGACUCUGGGAUAACCUCGGGAAACCGAAGCUAAUACCGGAUACGACCCGCGAAGGCAUCUUCUGCGGGUGGAAAGAAUUUCGGUUGGGGAUGGACUCGCGGCCUAUCAGCUAGUUGGUGAGGUAACGGCCCACCAAGGCGACGACGGGUAGCCGGCCUGAGAGGGUGACCGGCCACACUGGGACUGAGACACGGCCCAGACUCCUACGGGAGGCAGCAGUGGGGAAUAUUGCACAAUGGGCGCAAGCCUGAUGCAGCAACGCCGCGUGAGGGAUGACGGCCUUCGGGUUGUAAACCUCUUUUAGUAGGGAAGAAGCGAAAGUGACGGUACCUGCAGAAAAAGCACCGGCUAACUACGUGCCAGCAGCCGCGGUAAUACGUAGGGUGCAAGCGUUGUCCGGAAUUAUUGGGCGUAAAGAGCUCGUAGGCGGUUUGUCGCGUCUGCUGUGAAAACGCGAGGCUCAACCUCGCGCCUGCAGUGGGUACGGGCAGACUAGAGUGCGGUAGGGGAGAUUGGAAUUCCUGGUGUAGCGGUGGAAUGCGCAGAUAUCAGGAGGAACACCGAUGGC